UACGUAGGGGGCGAGCGUUGUCCGGAUUUAUUGGGCGUAAAGAGCUCGUAGGCGGUUGUGGAAGUCGGAUGUGAAAGACCGGGGCUUAACUCCGGGACGUCAUUCGAUACUCCACUGACUAGAGUCCGGUAGGGGAAGGUGGAAUACCUAGUGUAGCGGUGAAAUGCACAGAUAUUAGGGGAACACCGGUGGCGAAGGCGGCCUUCUGGGCCGGUACUGACGCUGAGGAGCGAAAGCUAGGGGAGCGAACAGG
rnacentral:rRNA from 1 species